rnacentral:rRNA from 1 species
UAGGGAAUCUUCGGCAAUGGACGGAAGUCUGACCGAGCAACGCCGCGUGAGUGAAGAAGGUUUUCGGAUCGUAAAGCUCUGUUGUUAGAGAAGAACGUUGGUAGGAGUGGAAAAUCUACCAAGUGACGGUAACUAACCAGAAAGGGACGGCUAACUACGUGCCAGCAGCCGCGGUAAUACGUAGGUCCCGAGCGUUGUCCGGAUUUAUUGGGCGUAAAGCGAGCGCAGGCGGUUCUUUAAGUCUGAAGUUAAAGGCAGUGGCUUAACCAUUGUACGCUUUGAAUGCGGAAGGACUUGAGUGCAGAAGGGGAGAGUGGAAUUCCAUGUGUAGCGGUGAAAUGCGUAGAUAUAUGGAGGAACACCGGUGGCGAAAGCGGCUCUCUGGUCUGUAACAGACGCUGAGGCUCGAAAGCGUGGGGAGCAAACAGG